AUACAAAACCUUGCAAAUGACAUUGAGAUUUAUCAAAGCACUGGUCUAAAAUAAAAGUGCCAAAAAAGAGCUACAUGUUAAGUAGUGUUUUUAUAGCUGUAAUAGUUUACAUAUGUGAGUCAAGAUUUAUAGAGAGGGAAAGUGUAUGUUUUCUUCCACUAAUUUACAUGGCAGAGGAAAGGAUGAGAUUUUGGGCACAUUAACCUUUUUGUGGUCAUAUGCAACAAAAUAUACAGACAGUAAAGACAGAAGCAAAACACACUGAAAAUAAUUCAUAAUUCAGUCAUGGUUUUUACUGUAGGAAGAGGUGGGAUGGCCAAAGGGAAAAAAACAGUUAAAUGAAGCAGUAGGAAUCUGUUUUUCAGGAAAUUCUUGUGUACAACCUAGUUCUGAAAAUUGGAUGAAUAGAUUUCUAACUUUAAGGGCUUUGAUUUUCACAAGCUAAAUGCAGAACUAAGUCUAAAAAGGCCCUUUAAAUUUCUGUCCUAAAAGAUACGUAGAGGGUGAAUUGAAAGCAUAAGCCACUUUCAAUAAAAACUGUGAUUGCUUUCUGCCUUCAAGAGGCCGGGAAAUAAAAAAGGCUCAUUUCUGGCAUCUUGUCUAUGUUUAGAUUUAAAUAUGACAUUCUGCACCUCUUGGGAAAAAAAAGAAUGUUGAAAUGAGCAGCCAGCAGAAGAUAUCUUCUCGUACAACAUCCUGACACCUGUACUUGUGUUAUGAGAGAGAGAGGAGCAAAAGGCAGCAGUGACUCAUCCAGUCAGCAUGGAUGCCAGACUUCUGCAAUGCACUCAGAGAGAAGGUGAACUGAAGACAGCCAGAAGACAGAAGCUGAAUUUGAAUGGUUUAGUGCUAAAUGCAACCUGAGAGGUGUACGUCUUCCACUGGGGCACUGAGGUCUAUCUUCAAUAAAUUCUGUCUGAGUUUUG
rnacentral:lncRNA from 7 species